rnacentral:rRNA from 1 species
AAUCAACGCUGGCGGCGUGCCUAACACAUGCAAGUCGCGCGCGAACGGGGGGCAACCCCCAAGUAGAGCGGCGAACGGGUGAGUAACACGUGGGUAAUCUACCUUCGAGUGGGGAACAACACCGGGAAACUGGUGCUAAUUCCGCAUGACAUCGUCGGGCCUUCGGUCCUGACGAUCAAAGCUGGGGAUCGUAAGACCUAGUGCUUGAAGAUGAGCCCGCGCCCGAUUAGCUAGUUGGCGGGGUAAUGGCCACCAAGGCUUCAUCGGUAGCCGGCCUGAGAGGGCGGACGGCCACACUGGAACUGAGACACGG